rnacentral:lncRNA from 10 species
CCUUUUUACUCAAAGCAUAAACCAGACACAAUACGUUAUACCAGAUUAACAUGCAACUUAAAAAGAGGUUAAUGUACAUACUAAGCAUGGAAAUUCACCAGUAAAAUCUCAUUUGUCAUUUUACCCCCACUACCUUGACAUUAUUCUUCCAUUUCAUAAUCAACAAGGUUCUACUUCUGGUCACCUGAUAAAUGCCUUGCAUUCCUGGAGCUUGACAUUUCAGUCAAUUAUGGACACAAGAACAAUGUUACAAGCAUAAAGAAAAAAUGCAUCUACGAAACAGCUGACUGCACUGCUUUCAAUGGAAAGGUCCCCACUCCAACCUGCCCACUCCCUCCCUUUUCUCAGCACAAACAUAAAUAGACUAGGUGGAACCCAUUUUUACCUAGGCUUCUCUAGGACAAUAUGAUAAACAAGAAAGAUUAGUAUCUACUAGAAGAAUUUGUCAUAUUUAAAAUCAAUAUGAUUAGUAAAAUGUAUUUUAAGUACAAAUUAAAAUGAUUAGUAUACAUUUCUCUCAUCUCUAGCAAACAAGAGAGCCCUCAUUAGACAUAGCUGCCUCCUCAAUGCUGUAUCUUGGACAUUAGCCUAAAAAAAUAUCUUUAAAAGUGCUUUGCAGGUAUCACCUCAUCUCAUGGAACCAUAGAGGGAUCUAAGAAAAGGCUACUCCAAUCUAAAGGACUAUUUUCAAGCAAAAAUAGAGGAAUUCUGUGUAUCAUCAAUGAAAGAAGUUUAGGGGAAGGGUAUAGUACAUAUUACAAUAAUUUAAAAUCAUACGCACAUUUCACUUUCCAUGCACGAUGAUUUUAACAUGAAACAAUGUAACUAUACAUCACUGAAAAUACAAUCAAGCUUUGCCCCAGAACUUACAGCCACUCUCUAUAGUCAGUUAAGAAAAACCCUGGAAGAAUAUAUGAUAAAUGUAUUCAGAUUCUAUUAGUUUUAUUUGUAAGCAGAUUCUAAACAAAGAGGAUGAAUUUGGGCACAUAUACACAUGCACAAAUGAAAUGGUUCAACAUCUAAAUGAUAUGACACAAAAUUACCACUAUGAGAAUCAAGAGGCUACUCUUAUGCAAGCAACAAACUUUUACUUAUGAUUUCAAACAUACAGUUUAAUUUUCUGUUAAAACUGUUUUAAAAAACAGUACUAGGGUUCAGUUUUCUAGUCUCGGCAUGAACUAAUGCCAGGGACCUAUUUGAAUUAGGAAAGAGACAAAAUGGUGUGAUUCGUGCUUCAUUACAUCAUGGUUUGUUGAGGGUUAGGUGAAUAUCUUCCAUUUCAAGACUUUUUAUUUAGGCCAGGCGCGGUGGCUCACACCUGUAAUCCCACCACUUUAGGAGGUUGAGGCGGGCAGAUUACGAGGUCAGGAGAUUGAGACCAUCCUGGCUAACACGGUGAAACCCCAUCUCUACUAAAAAUACAAAACAUUAGCCGGGCGUAGUGGCAGGCGCCUGCAGUCCCAGCUACUUGUGAGGCUGAGGCAGGACAACCGGCGUGAACCCAGGAGGCAGAGGUUGCAGUGAGCCGAGAUCGCGCCACUGCACUCCAGCCUGGACGACAAAGUGAGACUCUGUCUAAAAAAAAAAAAAAAAAAAAAAAAAAGACUUUGUAUUCAAAUAAAGCACAAAUUGUGACAGAAAUCCUCUAGGCUGUGUCAUCAGUUAAGACAAGCCAUACGAUACCAUAGAAAAUACAUAUAAUUUAUUAGAUGGGCUUAAAAUCAACACAAAUCCAUUUUUAGGCACUUCUUGAGUACAG